AUGCCCCUAGAGGCAUUCUAGGUAUGGCUGCUGUAUCACAUGCUUGUCAGUAGGUGGCAGAGAGGAGAGGGGUUGUGUCUAAGCUCAGUGUUCUGACCUAUUCAGAUUCAUUCAUCCGAAUGAUUAGUAGCCUAACAUU
rnacentral:snoRNA from 1 species